UACGUAGGGUGUGAGCGUUGUCCGGAAUUAUUGGGCGUAAAGGGCUCGUAGGCGGUUUGUCGCGUCGGGAGUGAAAACCCAGGGCUUAACCCUGGGCUGGCUUCCGAUACGGGCAGACUAGAGGUAUGCAGGGGAGAACGGAAUUCCUGGUGUAGCGGUGAAAUGCGCAGAUAUCAGGAGGAACACCGGUGGCGAAGGCGGAUCUCUGGGCCGAUACUGACGCUGAGGAGCGAAAGCGUGGGGAGCGAACAGG
rnacentral:rRNA from 1 species